rnacentral:rRNA from 1 species
AAAUUGAAGAGUUUGAUCAUGGCUCAGAUUGAACGCUGGCGGCAGGCCUAACACAUGCAAGUCGAACGGUAACAGGAAGCAGCUUGCUGCUUUGCUGACGAGUGGCGGACGGGUGAGUAAUGUCUGGGAAACUGCCUGAUGGAGGGGGAUAACUACUGGAAACGGUGGCUAAUACCGCAUAACGUCGCAAGACCAAAGAGGGGGACCUUCGGGCCUCUUGCCAUCAGAUGUGCCCAGAUGGGAUUAGCUUGUUGGUGGGGUAACGGCUCACCAAGGCGACGAUCCCUAGCUGGUCUGAGAGGAUGACCAGCCACACUGGAACUGAGACACGGUCCAGACUCCUACGGGAGGCAGCAGUGGGGAAUAUUGCACAAUGGGCGCAAGCCUGAUGCAGCCAUGCCGCGUGUAUGAAGAAGGCCUUCGGGUUGUAAAGUACUUUCAGCGGGGAGGAAGGUGUUGUGGUUAAUAACCGCAGCAAUUGACGUUACCCGCAGAAGAAGCACCGGCUAACUCCGUGCCAGCAGCCGCGGUAAUACGGAGGGUGCAAGCGUUAAUCGGAAUUACUGGGCGUAAAGCGCACGCAGGCGGUCUGUCAAGUCGGAUGUGAAAUCCCCGGGCUCAACCUGGGAACUGCAUUCGAAACUGGCAGGCUUGAGUCUUGUAGAGGGGGGUAGAAUUCCAGGUGUAGCGGUGAAAUGCGUAGAGAUCUGGAGGAAUACCGGUGGCGAAGGCGGCCCCCUGGACAAAGACUGACGCUCAGGUGCGAAAGCGUGGGGAGCAAACAGGAUUAGAUACCCUGGUAGUCCACGCCGUAAACGAUGUCUACUUGGAGGUUGUGCCCUUGAGGCGUGGCUUCCGGAGCUAACGCGUUAAGUAGACCGCCUGGGGAGUACGGCCGCAAGGUUAAAACUCAAAUGAAUUGACGGGGGCCCGCACAAGCGGUGGAGCAUGUGGUUUAAUUCGAUGCAACGCGAAGAACCUUACCUGGUCUUGACAUCCACAGAAGAAUCCAGAGAUGGAUUUGUGCCUUCGGGAACUGUGAGACAGGUGCUGCAUGGCUGUCGUCAGCUCGUGUUGUGAAAUGUUGGGUUAAGUCCCGCAACGAGCGCAACCCUUAUCCUUUGUUGCCAGCGGUCAGGCCGGGAACUCAAAGGAGACUGCCAGUGAUAAACUGGAGGAAGGUGGGGAUGACGUCAAGUCAUCAUGGCCCUUACGACCAGGGCUACACACGUGCUACAAUGGCGCAUACAAAGAGAAGCGACCUCGCGAGAGCAAGCGGACCUCAUAAAGUGCGUCGUAGUCCGGAUUGGAGUCUGCAACUCGACUCCAUGAAGUCGGAAUCGCUAGUAAUCGUGGAUCAGAAUGCCACGGUGAAUACGUUCCCGGGCCUUGUACACACCGCCCGUCACACCAUGGGAGUGGGUUGCAAAAGAAGUAGGUAGCUUAACCUUCGGGAGGGCGCUUACCACUUUGUGAUUCAUGACUGGGGUGAAGUCGUAACAAGGUAACCGUAGGGGAACCUGCGGUUGGAUCACCUCCUUACCUUAAAGAA